GGGCUACAUAUGAUGGCGGGCUGGACCUCUCGGGGUUACAGCCUUGCUGAAUUAUUCACCCUUGUCUUUUGCGUACUUCUUGUUUCCUUGGUGGGUUCGCCCACCACUAGGACAAACAUAAACCUUUUGUAAUUGCAAUCAGCGUCAGUAACAAAUUAAUAAUUACAACUUUCAACAACGGAUCUCUUGGUUCUGGCAUCGAUGAAGAACGCAGCGAAAUGCGAUAAGUAGUGUGAAUUGCAGAAUUCAGUGAAUCAUCGAAUCUUUGAACGCACAUUGCGCCCUUUGGUAUUCCAAAGGGCAUGCCUGUUCGAGCGUCAUUUGUACCCUCAAGCUUUGCUUGGUGUUGGGCGUCUUGUCUCUAGCUUUGCUGGAGACUCGCCUUAAAGUAAUUGGCAGCCGGCCUACUGGUUUCGGAGCGCAGCACAAGUCGCACUCUCUAUCAGCAAAGGUCUAGCAUCCAUUAAGCCUUUUUUUCAACUUUUGACCUCGGAUCAGGUAGGGAUACCCGCUGAACUUAAGCAUAUCAAA
rnacentral:rRNA from 2 species